GAUGAACGCUGGCGGCGUGCCUAACACAUGCAAGUCGAACGGAGUUAUGAUGUGAGCGGGAAGUGCUUGCACUAAACAAUCUUUUCAUAACUUAGUGGCGGACGGGUGAGUAACGCGUGGGUAACCUGCCCUGUACUGGGGGACAACAGUUGGAAACGACUGCUAAUACCGCAUAAGCGCACGGGAUCGCAUGAUCGUGUGUGAAAAACUCCGGUGGUACAGGAUGGACCCGCGUCUGAUUAGCUGGUUGGUGAGGUAACGGCCCACCAAGGCAACGAUCAGUAGCCGGCCUGAGAGGGGUGAACGGCCACAUUGGGACUGAGACACGGCCCAAACUCCUACGGGGAGGCAGCAGUGGGGAAUAUUGCACAAUGGGGGAAACCCUGAUGCAGCGACGCCGCGUGAGUGAAGAAGUAUUUCGGUAUGUAAAGCUCUAUCAGCAGGGAAGAAAAUGACGGUACCUGACUAAGAAGCCCCGGCUAACUACGUGCCAGCAG
rnacentral:rRNA from 1 species